rnacentral:lncRNA from 1 species
CUUUUUGAUCACCAUUCACGAUCCCUAUACCGUCUGGAAACUUCAUAACAAGAUGGAAGGUGGAUACAAUGACCCUGAUUUUAUUGAGUAGUGGUCUCCCGAUGAUGGCAUUGUAGGCCAUCGAAGCAUGGACUACGUGAAAGGGAGUGACUUCUGUCACCUGCUUUUGCCCUUAGCCCAAUGUUAGUGGAAGAUCAACGAUUCCUUCUGGGAUGAUUGUUCUACCCCCAAAUCCCUGGAGUGAUAUUUUGACUGUCUUGAACUGGUUAACAGAAAUACCCAUUUUCAUGAAAGCCUCUUGGGACGGCACAUUGGCCGCACUUCCAUUGUCAACCAAGACCCUCCUUACUUCAAAGUUGGCGAUGAUGGCAGAUAUGACCAAGGCAUCGUCAUGGGGGUAUGAUAUGUCUUUUGAAUCCUUUGAUCCAAAUGUGAUAUCUUUCAUGUCGUUGGGAGCUGUCAUUUGUAUGGAACUGUGUCGUCGGGCAUAUUGUUUGCACCCAUUAUUUGAAUCUUCCCCCGAGGCAAUCCCCUCGAUUAUAAGGUUGAUGGUACCUGCUAUUGUUUGGUUACCUCCCCCAGAUUCUGUGGUCUUUCCAUUGUUGCAAUCAUUCCUGGGAUGUUUGUCAUGCCUAAUAUACUCCUUUAGGAAUCCUCUUUUUAUCAAAGCUUCAAUCUCACGUUGCAAUGUAAUGCAAUCCUCUGUAGUAUGCCCAUGGUCACGAUGGUAGUCACAGUACUUGUUCUUGUUCCUGGUCUCAAGGGGAGACCUCAACCUCGGUGGCCACUUGAACUCCUUCAUAUCUUUGAUUUCCAUCAAUAUGUUUGACCUAGAGGUGUUCAAAUAUGUAAGUGUUGGUGGUGUGCCCUGCUUCUGCUUUCCUCUGGCAAGGUCUUGCUGUAGAUACAACUCACGCUGCCUCUUAUGCUUGGCCCCAUCAAAAGUCGGACCAACUCUCCUUAGAUUCAAUGUUUCUUCCAUAUUAAUGUAUUUCUCUCCUCGGGUCAGAAGCUCGGUCACUGACUUUGGGGGAGUUUUUGACAAACUCAUUUUGAAUGUUUCACAUCUUAUAGCAUGGGUGAGGGCGGAAACUACUGCUGUGAUAUGGAGAUCGGGGAUCUGAAGUCUUUCUUUAUUAAACCUCUUCAUGAAGUCACGUAGGG